GAUGAACGCUGGCGGCGUGCCUAAUACAUGCAAGUCGAGCGAAUGGAUUGAGAGCUUGCUCUUAUGAAGUUAGCGGCGGACGGGUGAGUAACACGUGGGUAACCUGCCCAUAAGACUGGGAUAACUCCGGGAAACCGGGGCUAAUACCGGAUAACAUUUUGAACCGCAUGGUUCGAAAUUGAAAGGCGGCUUCGGCUGUCACUUAUGGAUGGACCCGCGUCGCAUUAGCUAGUUGGUGAGGUAACGGCUCACCAAGGCAACGAUGCGUAGCCGACCUGAGAGGGUUAUCGGCCACACUGGGACUGAGACACGGCCCAGACUCCUACGGGAGGCAGCAUUAGGGAAUCUUCCGCAAUGGACGAAAGUCUGACGGAGCAACGCCGCGUGAGUGAUGAAGGCUUUCGGGUCGUAAAACUCUGUUGUUAGGGAAGAACAAGUGCUGGUUGAAUAAGCUGGCACCUUGACGGUACCUAACCAGAAAGCCACGGCUAACUACGUGCCAGCCGCCGCCGUAA
rnacentral:rRNA from 1 species